UACGAAGGGGGCUAGCGUUGUUCGGAAUCACUGGGCGGAAAGCGCACGUAGGCGGGUCCUUAAGUCGGGCGUGAAAUGCCGGGGCUCAACCCCGGGACUGCGUCCGAUACUUCCGAGCUGGAGGUAGGUAGGGGAGAUCGGAAUUCCUGGUGUAGCGGUGAAAUGCGUAGAUAUCCGGAGGAACACCGGUGGCGAAGGCGGCUUCCUGGACCGACACUGACGCUGAGGCGCGAAAGCUAGGGGAGCAAACGGG
rnacentral:rRNA from 1 species